rnacentral:ncRNA from 2 species
GGUGUUUUAUCGCUUAAUAGGGAACCCCGUGAAAAUCGGGGACGGGCCCGCCGCUGUAAUCGGGGACGAACGCCGCUUGAAACCACUGACGUGUUCAGUGCAAAAUGAAAAAUGCAAAGUGCAAAAUGUGAUAACUUUGCACUUUUAACUUUACAUUUUGCACUGUAUCUGUCGGGAAGGCGCGGUCAGUAGGAUGAACUGAGAGUCAGAAGACCUGCCUGAACUUCAUAAGAAAA